UACGUAGGGGGCAAGCGUUGUCCGGAAUCAUUGGGCGUAAAGCGCGCGUAGGUGGCCCCAUAAGUCCGCUGUGAAAGUCAAAGGCUCAACCUUUGAAAGCCGGUGGAUACUGUGGGACUAGAGUACGGAAGAGGCGAGUGGAAUUCCUGGUGUAGCGGUGGAAUGCGCAGAUAUCAGGAGGAACACCAAUAGCGAAGGCAGCUCGCUGGGACGUUACUGACACUGAGGCGCGAAAGCGUGGGGAGCGAACAGGG
rnacentral:rRNA from 1 species